rnacentral:rRNA from 1 species
AGACGGAGGGGGCUAGCGUUGUUCGGAAUUACUGGGCGUAAAGGGCACGCAGGCGGUCUGCGUAGUCAGGCGUGAAAGCCCCGGGCUCAACCCGGGAAUUGCGUUUGAUACUGGCAGACUGGAGUCCGGGAGAGGGUAGUGGAAUUCCCAGUGUAGAGGUGAAAUUCGUAGAUAUUGGGAAGAACACCAGUGGCGAAGGCGGCUACCUGGACCGGUACUGACGCUGAGGUGCGAAAGCGUGGGGAGCAAACAGGAUUAGAAACCCGAGUAGUCC